CGCGGCUCCGGGACGGGCUGAGCGUGGGCUGGGCGUCCGGUCGGGUCGUUUAUCAUGCAGCUUCGCAAACACCAGGCAGUGGCACUCAGCGGAAGAGCUUCACAGUGGUGGGAGAAAGCAUCUCAGAGUAGAGGCAGCAAAGGGCUGAUGUGGAAGAGAGUCGAAGGCAAAGGAAAAGAGGACAGGCGAUAAAACACAUUAACAAGAGAACUAAGUUAUGAGC